rnacentral:lncRNA from 1 species
CCAUGCUUAACUAUUUUUGUGAGAUUUUUUUUUCAAAGCAGCUGUUGUGGUUUCCAAGGCACAAGGAGUCUUGUUUUUUUGUUUUUUGUGUUUUUUUUUCUUUCUACACUACAAUGUAUUGGCAAACAAAUGUCUGUUUCUCCAAACACAGCGUCUGAUUCUGAAUGAUGAUGUUGUGACAUAUGUGUACUUCAUACAUUCCCAGCACUGCCUGAGCCUGCAGAGAAGGGACUUGCUUUUUGUAAAUACCUCACAGAGUUGUAUACAGAGCAAACAGCCAACCUGUUUGUGAGUGGAUAAGUGAGUGAAUAUUAGUUGAAUUAUUUAAUCAUAUCUUUUGACAAUAACUCUUUGGCUCUGUGAUGGCAAUUUGGAAUGAAAAGACAAAAUAUUUGUUGAUUUCAAUAUUUUUUUCUCCCCCAAUAAGAGGAUAGCAUAAGGGAGAUUGAUUGGGUAGACAAACAGACAAGAAAGAAGGAAAGAGAGAAAAAAACAAACAAAGAAGAAAGAAAGAA